rnacentral:rRNA from 1 species
GGUCUUGACAUCCCGGAGACCCUUAGGAACAGGGGUGCUUCCAUCUGGAAGAAUCUGGAGACAGGUGCUGCAUGGCUGUCGUCAGCUCGUGUCGUGAGAUGUUGGGUUAAGUCCCGCAACGAGCGCAACCCUUGCCUUUAGUUGCCAGCAGUUCGGCUGGGCACUCUAAAGGGACUGCCGGUGUUAAACCGGAGGAAGGUGGGGAUGACGUCAAGUCCUCAUGGCCUUUAUGACCAGGGCUACACACGUACUACAAUGGCCGAUACAAAGGGCAGCGACACUGCGAGGUGAAGCCAAUCCCGUAAAAUCGGUCUCAGUCCGGAUUGGAGUCUGCAACUCGACUCCAUGAAGUUGGAAUCGCUAGUAAUCGUGGAUCAGCAUGCCACGGUGAAUACGUUCCCGGGCCUU